rnacentral:rRNA from 1 species
AUUGAACGCUGGCGGCAGGCCUAACACCUGCAAGUCGAGCGAGCGACGGACGGGUGAGUAAUGUAGAGUGACUGCCCGAUAGAGGGGGAUAACUCCUGGAAACGGUAUCUAAUACCGCAUACUAUCGGCUUACCCAGAGGGGAUUAGGUAGGCGGGUAGGUAAUGGCUCACCUAGGCGACGAUCCCUAGCUGGUGUGAGAGGAUGAUCAGCCCAAUGGGGGCUGGUACCGGGCCCAGACUCCAAGGGAGGCAGCAGUGGGGAAUAUGUCAUAAUGGGCUGAAGCUCGAGGCAGCCAUGCCGGGGUGAUGAAGAAGGCCCUAGGGUUGUAAAGUACUGUCAGUCGGGAGACGGGACCGACAGAAGAAUCACCGGCUAACUCCGUGCCAGCAGCCGCGGUAAUUC